rnacentral:rRNA from 1 species
AACGAACGCUGGCGGCAGGCCUAACACAUGCAAGUCGAACGCACCGCAAGGUGAGUGGCGCACGGGUGAGUAACACGUGGGAAUGUACCCUUUGGUUCGGAAUAACGUUUGGAAACGAACGCUAAUACCGGAUGAGCCCUGCGGGGGAAAGAUUUAUCGCCAAAGGAGCAGCCCGCGUCUGAUUAGCUAGUUGGUGGGGUAAAGGCCUACCAAGGCGACGAUCAGUAGCUGGUCUGAGAGGGUGAUCAGCCACACUGGGACUGAGACACGGCCCAGACUCCUACGGGAGGCAGCAGUGGGGAAUAUUGGACAAUGGGCGCAAGCCUGAUCCAGCCAUGCCGCGUGAGUGAUGAAGGCCUUCGGGUUGUAAAGCUCUUUCGCACGCGACGAUGAUGACGGUAGCGUGAGAAGAAGCCCCGGCUAACUUCGUGCCAGCCGCCGCCGUAAUAC